UGGGUAUUCUCCAUGCUGGUGUGUUGGAUUGGCCGUGCCCCUAUAGAGAAUAAAUGCAUGGUUUGAGUAGCGAAUGCAGCGAUCUUUCAGUGGCUAAAAUUACAAGUUGACAUCAUCACUGACAUUUCAUAACAAUUGGUUAACGCUAAUGCACAGUUGAAAAAUCUGCAUAAUAAAUCAGACCUGUUCUCUCCUGUCUCCACUUCCCAAGGUCCGCUGCUAAAAGAGUCCCUGUGGAAACACAUUUUUAUCAUUCUGGGAGGGUUCCACAGAGCAGGAUGAAGGGGGGUGGUAAAUGUUUUGCAUAGUACAUUUUGUAGCUGUAUAGUAGUUUUUUUUUACAUGAUAAUUAUUUUUAUAUUAUUGCAUUGUGGUAGUUGUAGAAGUAGUAGUUGUAGAAGUAGUAGAAGUAGCAGUAGUAGUAGUAAAAGUAGUAGUUGUAGCAGUAUGAGUUAUAGUAGUAUUAGUUAUAGCAGUAGUAGUUGUAGAAGUAACAGUAUUGGUUUUAAUAGUUGAAGCAGUAUUAGCAGUAGUAGAUGUAGUAGUUGUAGCAGUAGUAGUUGUAGCAGUGGUAGUUGUUGUAGCAGUAGUAGUUUUAGUAGCAGUAGUAGUUUUAGUAGGAGUAGUAGUUUUAGUAGCAGUAGUAGUUUUAGUAGGAGUAGUAGUUUUAGUAGCAGUAGUAGUUUUAGUAGGAGUAGUAGUUUUAGUAGCAGUAGUAGUUGUAACAGUAGUAGUUGUAACACUCGUAGCAGUAGGCCUAGUAGUUGAAGUAGUUGUAGUAGUUGAUUUAGCCUACUGUCUGUUCACAUACUAAGAAAGGUAAUGUUUCCUCCUGCAGGUGUUUGUCCACAGAGACUUCAGUGCAGUUCGAGAUCAGGCCAUGCAAAUGGUACAGAAAGCCUUCACUCUGCUGGACCAGGAGUUCCAGAAACUGGAUCGAGAGAAGUCAGAGUUGUCUCAAGCUGCUGCUGCUUUGCAAAAAGAGAAAGCAGCUCAUGAUGCCUGCAGACAACAACAGCUACAGGAGCUACAGGAGAUGCUGGACAGGCAUCGUUUUCAAAAUGAGGCAUGGCUCCGAGCGAGAGCCGGGGAGAACGACAGAGAGAGG
rnacentral:lncRNA from 1 species